rnacentral:other from 1 species
AGACUUCUGCGGUGUUCGAGAAGCACCUUGGUUCUUUUCCUUUACUCUGUUAUUAUAAGGGAAUCAUUCGUUAGGCGUUGGAUGUCAUGCCGUAAAUCGGAAGACAAAAGGCGUCACGAAGGUGCCCACCUGGAUCUUGAAAGGUCAAAGAACCUAUGACCGCGACGCACGGCACACGUGGGAGUCUA